ACACUGGGAUAGCUCAGUUGGGAGAGCACGAGACUCUUAAUCUCAGGGCCAUGGGUUUGAGCCCCACAUUGGGUGUA